rnacentral:rRNA from 1 species
CCGUGAUGGACUAACCGUCUGUCGCUGGGAAGAAGCUUAACUUGGGGGAAACUGCCACGAAAAUAAAACUUUAAUAUAAGUUUGCCUUUCUUUAAUUUUGUUAUUUUAGAAAUUUAAAUUAUUAAUUUAAUUUUUUCCUAGUCCCUUAUCCUAAAGAUGAGGAGACAUAGGUAGGUAGUUUUUAUUUAUAUAUUUUUAUUUUAGUAUAAAAAAUAAUAAUUUUUGCAUUAAAAAAACACUUAUAUUAAGCUAUUUAGUAUCUGUUAACCCAUUUAAGUAACAUCUCAAAAGUCAUAGCAAGGUAGCUUGUACUGG